GCCCUCGUAGCUCAGGUGGAUAGAGCAGCGGUUUCCUAAACCGUUGGCCGCAGGUUCGAGUCCUGCCGGGGGCA
rnacentral:tRNA from 1 species